rnacentral:rRNA from 1 species
AGAGUUUGAUCCUGGCUCAGACGAACGCUGGCGGCAGGCUUAACACAUGCAAGUCGAGCGCCCCGCAAGGGGAGCGGCAGACGGGUGAGUAACGCGUGGGAACGUGCCCUUUGGUUCGGAACAACUCCGGGAAACUGGAGCUAAUACCGGAUAAGCCCUUCGGGGGAAAGAUUUAUCGCCAAAGGAUCGGCCCGCGUCUGAUUAGCUAGUUGGUGAGGUAAUGGCUCACCAAGGCGACGAUCAGUAGCUGGUCUGAGAGGAUGAUCAGCCACACUGGGACUGAGACACGGCCCAGACUCCUACGGGAGGCAGCAGUGGGGAAUAUUGGACAAUGGGCGCAAGCCUGAUCCAGCCAUGCCGCGUGAGUGAUGAAGGCCUUAGGGUUGUAAAGCUCUUUUGUCCGGGAAGAUAAUGACUGUACCGGAAGAAUAAGCCCCGGCUAACUUCGUG